rnacentral:sRNA from 1 species
AGUCUCCUUUCUGUCCAUGGGCUCGGGCCACUGUCUCAGGUCCACCCGUGGCUCCAAAAUGGUCUCCUGGUCCGUGAUAGCAAAGAUCCAGGAAAUACUGCAGAGGAAGAUGGUGCGAGAGUUCCUGGCCGAGUUCAUGAGCACAUAUGUCAUGAUGGAGCCCACAUGAAUGCAGCUGUGACCUUUGCUAACUGUGCGCUGGGCCGCGUGCCCUGGAGGAAGUUUCCGGUCUAUGUGCUGGGGCAGUUCCUGGGCUCCUUCCUGGCGGCUGCCACCAUCUACAGUCUCUUCUACAGUGAGUGUCCUGCCCGGGUUCCGCCUCUGGCCUCAGCCGCCUCCUAUGAAAUAUGGGCAGAUUGGACCUCAGUGUCCUGAUUUGUAAAAAAUAGCUGGGAGAAAAAAGCCUUGGAGAUCCCCCACCCUCUAACCUAUAACCUCAUUUCUGGGACCCCGGUGGGGCUUAGUUGGGGGCAGGUUCGCAUGACAGUCUGUGUCUCCGCAGCGGCCAUUCUCCACUUUUCGG